GCAAUACCACGUUUUAGCCCCCUCAUCCCUCACUAGCCGCCCCGCUAGCGGAGAAGUUGAUUUGGGAGAGCUGUUCUCGUCUUUAGAAGUCCUGUGCAGGAAAUAAAGCUUGCUCUGCUUGAGGCUCACUUUCGGUUUCAUGUAUUGGCUCUGCGACUCCCAAUGAGGAAAGAUCCCACCUUCUGCAGCUACCAAGAUUUUUGGUAACAAGAAGAGUGAUUAUUUUUCAUUUUCGUACGCAGAAGAGAGAGUCAGAAGAGGAGAAGGCGAUGUGAAGGAGGAGGCAGAGAUUGGAGCAAUGGGGCUAC
rnacentral:lncRNA from 1 species